UAAGUGGAAGUUCAUGCGAUUGAUUACUUUGCAGAUCUGGAGAGAGGAGAUGCAGCAAGGUUAUAUAGGCGAGGCGAUGACCCCCGAAGAACUUGACAUUAAGUGAUUGGAAGGGAUAUGAUGUAUGUCUUGCAUGAAUAACUGGCACAGGAUCUGAAGUUUUGCUUGCUUUAACGAUAAACCAAUAGAAAUUAACCAAAAUCUGCGGCUGGGCCUUGUUCAUGAGGAUAUCGAGCGUCAUGUGUUGCACGUGCCAUCUCAUAUAUAGUUUGGAGUCUGCCAAUGGAAAGGAUGGCCAACCUGGGAAAGAUCACAGACUAGAGUUUCUGUCAUUCUUGGGAUAGGAUUAUUGCAAUUUUCUAUAUUACACAGGCCAAAUUUUGCCCCCUCAAGUUGUCAUGUAAGAUGCUGACAUAAACGGCGAGAUGCAAAACUGAUGCUUGAUGAUUUUGGGCAUAA